GAUGAAGAACGCAGCGAAAUGCGAUACGUAAUGUGAAUUGCAGAUUUCAGUGAAUCAUCGAAUCUUUGAACGCACAUUGCGCCCGCUAGUAUUCUGGCGGGCAUGCCUGUUCGAGCGUCAUUUCAACCAUCAAGCCCUAGGCUUGCGUUGGAGCCCUGCGGCUGCCGCAGGCUCCCAAAUCCAGUGGCGGGCUCGUCGUCGUACCGAGUGCAGUAAACAUCCUCGCUCAGAGAACGUGACGGGUUCUUGCCGUGAAACCCCCCACAUAUCAAGGUUGACCUCGGAUCAGGUAGGAAUACCCGCUGAACUUAAGCAUAUCAAUAAGCGGAGGA
rnacentral:misc_RNA from 1 species